CAGAUUGAGAGAUAACAAGAGUCCUAUUUCUACAUAUUAAAUGACUAAGAGAAACCACCUAUGGAAUGACAAUAAAUAAACAGACAACUCUUGACUCCGCCCAGAAGCAAUCCAUCAUUUUGAGGUCAAGUAGAAAAGGUGGAACCUGAAAGGAAACGGAGAAGUGGUGGUGAGGGAAGUAGGAGAAAAACCAGGAGAGUAUAGCGUCACAAGAAGCAAGAGAUGAAAGCUUUUCCAGACACAUUCAUUAAAGAAAAAGAAAGAAAGACAGGAAGAAAGACAAGCAAGCAAGCAAGCAAGCAAGCAAGAAAACUGAGCCAUCCACCACUCUCUCUGCCAACAAGAAUUCUCAGAUGGGCCAGGCACAGUGGCUCAUGCCUGUAAUUCCAGCACUUUGGGAGGCUGAGGCAGGACGAUCACUCAAGACCAGGAGCUCAAGACCAGCCUGGGCAACAUAGUGAAACCCUAUCUCCACCAAAAAUAAAAUUAGCCCAGGAAUGAUGUCACUUUACUGUAGUCCCAUCUAUUUGGGAGGCUGAGGGAAGAGGAUACUUGAGCCCAGGAGUUCAAGACUGCAGGGAGCUAUGAUUGCACCACUGCACUCCAGCCUGGGUGACAGAGCAAGACCCCGUCUCAAAGAAAACAAAAAAGAAUUCUCAGACAGGCUGGGUACAGUGGCUCACGCCUGUAAUCCUAGCACUCUGGGAUGCCGAGGAGGGUGGAUCACUUGAUCCCAGGAAUUCGAGACCAGCCUGGCCAUCGUAGUGAAACCCUAUCUCUAUUAAAAUACAAAAAUUAGCCAGGGCAUGGUGGCACACACCUGUACUCCCAGCUACUUCCAAGGCUGAGGCGGGAGAAUCACUUGAACCUGGGAGGUGGAGGUUGGAAUGAGCUGAGAUUGUGCCACUGCACUCCAGCCUGGGCGAAAGAUCAAAGCUCUGUCUUAAAAAAAAAGAAAGAAAAAAAGAAAAAGAAUUCUCAGGCAGAUGUUUUCUCACUCUGCAUGGGAUGGGAUUUUCUUUUUUUCUUUUUUCUUUUAUAGAGACAAAGUCUCACUAUGUUGUCCAGGCUGGUCUUGAACCCCUGAGUUCAAGCAAUCCUCCUGCCUUGACCUCCCAAAGUGUUGGGAUUACAAGGCGUGAGCCAUGGCACCCAACCAGGUUGGGAUUUUCUAUCAAUCAGGGGCAAAUCUCUCAGAAAACAAAGAAGACUUUAACUCAUAUUUGGAUCAUAUAUAUAAAGUGCCUGACAUACGGUAGAUGCUACAUAAGUUUUGGUUCUUUAUCCACACUUAAUUAUUUUGAAACAGGGUCUCUGUUUUACAGGCUGGAGUGCAGUGGUACUCUGUUGCCCAGGCUGGAGUGCCAGUGGUACAAUCUCUGCUCACUGUAGUCUCCACCUCCUGGGCUCAGGUAAUUCUUCCACCUCAGCCUUCCGAGUAGCUGGGAUUACAGGCGCGCGCCACUGUGCCCGGCUGUAAACAAUUAAAAUAUCAAAGUACACGGUUUGGAAGAUAGUAGAAAAUCUCUGAUGAGAAAGGGCAGUUCUGGUUUGUUAUUAUAGAGUGUAUGAGCACUCACACACGCCCAUACACCAAUUAAAGCUCACAAUAGAUGAAUCCUUAAAAGAAGGGGAAAUUAGAGCAGAAUAAAAGGAUGCUAAUUGUUGACAGUGAAAAAUGUUAUUUGUAAUAAUAGAGACUAGUAAAAGCAAAACACAUGUUGCUUGUUUGUGAGACCACCCAGCAGUCUGACUUGAUUGGAAGUUGUGUCAAUGGUCCUCCAUCAAAGACUAUCACCGUGAAUGAUGUCUAAAUAGAUGUUUCACUGAAAUUAAGAGAAGCCUUAUGUGAUCUGCAGAAUGGCCAUGUACUUUAGGUUAUUUGCAAAAGUUUUGUAAAUUGAAUUGUGAAUUUAACUGAGAGUACUUUUAAAACUAUAACUAAGCAGUGAAAGGAAAGUUGAAUUGACAGUGUUAUCUAGAAAGGUGCUGCCUCUCUCAGGUAAGCAGGGAUUUGGAGAAACAUAAAGACUUGGGUUUUAUUGAGGACACAUGGACAUAAACAUGGGAACAAUAGACACCAUGGAAUACUACAGGGUGGAGGGGUGGGUUAGAAAUCUACCUGUCAGGUACUAUGCUCACUAUCUCGGUAAUUUUUGAGAUUCCUACUCCAUACCUCAGCACCAAGCAAUAUUCCCAUGCAACAAAUCUGCACAUGCACCCACUGCAUCUAAAAUAAAAGUUGAAUUAAUAAAAUCAAAAAAAUAAAGGCCGGGUGUGGUAGCUCACGCCUGUAAUCCCAGCACUUUAGGAGGCCGAGGUGGCUGUAUCACCUGAGGGCAGGACUUCGAGACCAGCCUGGCCAACAUGGUGAAACUGUGUCUCUACUAAAAACACAAAAAAUCAGCCGGGCAUGGUGGCACUCACCUGUAAUCCCAGCUACUCCAGAGGCUGAGGCAGAAGAAUCGCUUGAACCCAGGAGGCAGAGGUUGCAGUGAGCCGAGAUCAUUGCACUCCAGCCUGGGCAACAAAAGAGAAACUCCGUCUCACAUAUAUAAGGAAAUAAACCUUGGUUUUUUUUUUUCCAAUCCCACCUGUCCCGGCCCCUAUUUAAGACUUAAUCUAUCAUCAGUUUAUAUAUGCACUGUCAAAAAUAACAAACAAGGAAGUCUAGCUCUUUUGUUUUCUAUGGCUCUUAAGAAGUCAGGGUGACAUCUGGUGGACAGACAGUCUUAAGGUAUCUAUCAAGACAGUAUAAAUUUCUUUCUGAUUCCCACUUUAAAAGUUCUCAAAGAGUCAAAAAUUUAAAAAGGAAGUUGUGCCUCAAGUGGACAGAAAACAUGACUCUUAACCCCAAACA
rnacentral:lncRNA from 10 species